GAUGAAGAACGCAGCGAAAUGCGAUACUUGGUGUGAAUUGCAGAAUCCCGUGAACCAUCGAGUCUUUGAACGCAAGUUGCGCCUCAAGCCAUUAGGUUGAGGGCACGUCUGCCUGGGCGUCACAUAUCGUUGCCUGAUGCCAGUUUCCUCGUGAUGGGUGACUGUGCAGGGCGAAUGAUGGCUUCCCGUGAGCAUUGUUGCCUCAUGGUUGGUUGAAAAUUGAGUCCUUGGUAGGGAGCGCCGUGAUAGAUGGUGGUUGAGUGACGAACGGGACCCAAUCAUGUGAGACCCCUACCGAAUUUGGCCUUCAUGACCCACAUGCGUCUUUGGAACGCUCAUGACGAGACCUCAGGUCAGGCGGGGCUACCCGCUGAGUUUAAGCAUAUCAAUAAGCGGAGGA
rnacentral:misc_RNA from 1 species